GUUGUCCCCUGUGUGACCCAAACAGAACAGAAAACAAGAAAACGUACGAUAAAAGGACUCCAAGAAGAAAAAGAAGGCUAAUUUGGUUCAAGUCAUCAACGUGGAUAAAAUCUUUGGUGGCGAGUAUGCUUUUGCUGAGCAGAAGUGUAUCGAUUGGCAAUUGUUUGAUGGUUUUUAUUCUAACUGAACACCAUGCAUUUUUGACUCAAAUGUCACGGUAGAUAUUUAUUUACUUCCUCUUUGAUCUUCUCUUGUUAAUCUAUAUUCUUUUCGGAUGUUCUUUUUAGUUUCUCAUCGUAAUCUAAAAUCGUGAUUGUAAUUUGUAAACAUACAUUUUGUUUUACCCUUGUCAUAUAUCUUUUUUUUUGGUAAAAAACCCUUGUCAGAUAUCAAUAUAUCAUCAUCUAAGAAACUAUUAAUUACACAACGAAUUGCAUGGAUGAUGAUAUAUUUCUUCAGCUGGAUUAAUUCUUUUGUUUUAUAUUUUGCUACUAUUUUAAGAUGUUUUCACUCGUUGAUUCAUAUGAUCGAUUUCGUUGUUCUCUAACAUGUGAAUUUUAUAUUGUAGAAUUGUCGUUGUGACCUACUAAAAGAAUAUAAUAUGCUUUGCACUAUGUAUUUCGGUUAAACCUCAAUUGAUAAUUCGAUUCCUACUUUAAUUAAGGAUGUAUUACAACGUUUAAUUAGUUUACCUCUAAACGAAGUCCUGUAUCUGGAAGUCUUCCUCCAAAAGAUUAAGUUAGGCAGACUUGAAAAAAUUUUCAACUACAUGUAAUAUGUUCCUUUAUUUUCUUAAAUCAAUGCUCAGCGAAAAUUUUAAAAUAAUGUAUUAACUGUGACAAUAUAAAUAUUGGAACUUUGUAAGUCUUAAUUAAGGAUUGGUUCUUGAGCUCACAAAAUAUAACUAGCUAGAUAAACGACAGAAAUUCUUACAGCAUUCGCUUUCAAGGUAAUUAAUUUGACACAUUGCUCAAAAUAGGUUUAAUGACUAUGAACCAUUUUCUCACAAAACAAACCGUUAAAGCGUUAACUUACAUUCGUAUUAUACUUUACGGUUCGAGUGUUCCAUCUUAUGGUUUAAAUGCAAAUGUAUUUGUUUAUCAGUACUAGUAGCAUUCACUAUUCCUGCAUUAACUGCUUUACUAUAGAAGAACUGUCUAGCAUUUACAAUGAAUGCGUUUCUGUUGAUCUAUUAAGAGAAAAAUGUAAAAUUAUUCUAUUAAAACUAAAGUACAAAAUAAUAUUUUCCUAUUUUUAAGUGGUUUCUUACCAAAUUUUUUUAAACUAAUUGUAACCAUUUUAUUUAUUGUAUUUUUUAAUUAAUUUAACAUCAUUUAUUACAAUGUUUAAAAUGUUUUAUUACGUUUUUCUUUACUAUUCUUCCUAACUACUUCAUAAUUAUAUUUACUAUAAUAAUUCAUAGCAAUUAUUUUACGGGCUAAUCAUAAUAAUUUUGCAUGUAAUGCAAUUGCUUCAUUCUUGACAAAACUUCAAACUGGCUAACAAAGAAUUUUUAUUUAUUUGCAGAAUCAAUUAUACAUGGGUAUCCAAGUACCCAUUCAAGUAUGAUAUCGUUUUUGAUAUCGUUUGAUAUUCAAAUACAUGGCUCAAAUCUUUGAUAUCGUUUUUUAGUUUUAAAAUUAGAUUUCAUUCGGAUAUUAUAAAUUAGGAUCCGAUUAAGUUCAAAUCUUUGAUAUCCAAAUACAUGGCUCAAAUCUUUGAUAUCCAAAUACACUCCUCAAAUCUUUGAUAUCGUUUAGUUUUAAAAUUAGAUUUCAUUCGGAUAUUAUAAAUUAGGAUCCGAGUAAGUUCGUAUGAACUUAAAAAUAUUCAAAUAACUUAUAUUUUUAAAAAUGUCAUUAAAAUUAUAAAAAAAUGUAAAAAUCAAAACCCCCACGGGCAGGAGGAUCAUGCUCUAGUUUAAAAUUAAAAGCAAAAUAAUCUAGCUUUUUACCUCAAAUUUUUUUCCAUAUACAAUCUCUCUUGAUAUAUGGGGUUUUUACACGUUGAUGUAUCCAUAUAUAAUGAUAGAUCACAUACAUGCAUAGCCUACAGUCUUCACACACAAUCGUUACGUUUAUGAUUGUUUUUUUGACAGUCAACGAAAUAUAUCAAAUGAGAUUUAUCGGGGUUUGGAUGAUACUGUAUAGUAAAAAAAACAAUGAGUCAAAAUACCACUUUCUAUAAUGGUAUUUGAUUAUUUUUUUUUAAACAAUUUCUACACAUUUUUUAAGAAGAAAUCAAAUUGUUUGAAAUGAAAAAAUGAAAAAAAAAAUAUUUAAAAUUUGAUUUUUUAAAAAAUUCAAAACAAAAAUAUUGAAUUAUACUAUUUUAAAAAAAUAUAUUAUUUUUAAUGAAUAUUUAAAAUAUCAAAGUUUUUUAAGAAACUGAAAUUUCUUCAAAAAACCUUAAAACUUGUAACAACAUUUUAUUCAAAGUUAUUCAAAUCUCGAAUUUUCCUAGAUUUACUCAAAUCUUGAAUUAUCUCAAAUCUUUGAUUCAAUAAACUUCCUUUCAUGAAAAAUGCAAAUCUCUAAUACUCCCUCUUUUAAUACUCCACUAGAAUAAGACCUGCGCCUUGCGCAGGGUGAGUUUAUUUGUAUAUAUUAUCGAUAGUUUCUUUUAUAUAUUUGAUCAUUUUAUUUAUAUAUAUAAAAUAUUUUUUUGUUGUUAUUAUAUAAUUUAUUUCCGAUGGAUCGGAUCAAUUUGUAUUAAAAAUAAUGGAACAAAACUAUAAUUAAUACAUCAUGGGUUGAUCAGAUUGGACAUUAAACAAAUUAUGACAUAAAAACCUUAUUUUUUUCAUCGAACACAUUCUUGAAAAAAUGAACACUAUUGUUUUCACAGUUGAAUUAUUUUGACUUUUAUCUUACAUAUGAUUUUGAAAGCUUUCAAAUCAACCAUCAAACUGAUACAUGUCAUUUUAAUGUUUUUAGUCGUAUACUUAAGGAAAACUUACAUUUUUGUAAUUUAAAGUCGUUUUAAAAAAAUUCAAAAUAUUACAUAUAAGAAAAUUCUAACAUAUAAGAAAAAUAUAACAUAUAAGGUGUCUUCAUUUGUGUAUUUUAAAGUCGUUUUAAAAAAAUAUAUAACAUAUAAGGUUUCUUCAUUUUUGUAAUUUAAAGUCAUUU